GCAUUUGCUAGAUAUUGUUUGCCGCCAUUCUGAAAAUCGUCACUGUAAGAGACUGUUGUGCAGAUGUUGCGUCGCACCUUAAAACAUUCUGAAUUCUUUUUGGCAGAUUUGAUUAUCCCACUUUUGAGAAAAUAAAAAAAAAUUUUAGUGGCACCGGCUGUGGGGAACGCUUUAACAAUUUUGAUAAAUUCGUCCUUCAGGUGACAGAAAAAGAUGUACCUCAAUACGUAACACCAUUCGAAGAAACCUGUCUGCGCCAUCCACUACUUCAAAGCAUUAAAAAUUCUGGCUACGUAAAACCAACACCUGUUAAGAAAGCUUCAGUUGCAGGUCCAAUUGCAUCUAAGGUGGUGUACUUGGAACGGUUUUGAACAUUGUUAGAACAAGGUGUUGCUGCUGCGUCUCAUGCCAUGGAGCAAAAGCCAGAAGUUACCCACUCGUGAAUUGGCCAUUCUAAGUCACUGCUACACCAUGGCGACUGAUGUUCCUGCCCUUGGUUUAGGUUAUGCUUUAUGGGUUCUUCGUUCGUUUUUUACGUAUUUGAUGUUUGUAUUGUUUUUCCUAGAUACUGCUGGCGUCAACUAUGUCGUAAAUUAUGAUUUGCCAACUGAAAUUGAAGAGUAUGUUCAUCGUGUUGGUCGAACGGGCCGCGUGGGAAAUGUUGGAAAAUCAAUAAGGUUCUUUGACGAAGAAAGAGAUGGGCCUAACGCUGGAAAGUUUGUGUCUUUGUUAACUUGGUCCAACGCCGAUGUACCGCUAUUCAUGCAAGCGAUGUUUUAUUUAAUUAGUCUUUGCGAAAUGGAUUGGAAAGAGUGGACGACGGAAUAGUACAGCUGCCCAACUUCCGAAUGGUGCAAUAUGCAUCUAACGCUUCCAAUUCCGGAUUGUGUUGUCGCAACAGGAUGGUUGAGCACGUUUCUCAGCCAUUUUGCUUUGUGUUACUUAUCUGUCUUAGUAUUUGCUUUUCUUCGUAAAUGUGUGAAGUUAUUAGCUUUUAAGUUCUCGAAAAAAUUACACAGAGAUCAGUGUUGAGGGGGUGGGGCAGGGUAGUAUGAUGUAAAUAUGAAAAUAAUUUGUUCGGUAGAUUGGGGUAGGUGGUGCCAAUCAAACCGUAACUUGCGUGGUGGCAAUGUUUGAUUAGGGAGUUGGUUGAUUUAGUAAAGUUUCCAACUUUUGUAGGCUGAAGGUGAGGUAGGGUAGAUUCAAGGAUAACGAACGUUAACAUCAUUUACCCUGACGCAUCUACCACAUGUUUCUUUCUUGCAAUAGGUAAAUGUGUGUAAGUAUUGCGAAAUUUAAACGAAAAGAAACCAUACACCAUGUGCAGGUAAAAGUAUAAUUAAAUUAUAAUAAAAGCAGCUUAUGUUGAAAUCUAACCAAAUGUUGGUAAGUUAAAUACACUGACGUUGGUAGUUUUCCAUUCAUGUGUAUAAAAACGCAUAGUUCUAUUAUGUAACACUUAAAUAUGUAAAGCCAAUUUUAUUUAUUACCUUAUCUUUUCCAGGUUAGAUCCAAGCAUAAUAUAAGUGCUAUAAUUGCCCGAGCAACCCUUCAAACUUUCGUUUUGUAUUUAACCCUAAAAGCAUGUAUGACUACCAUUUUACUUAGGAUUGAAUUGAAUCAUCUUUAAAUGGACAACUUGA